ACGGGUGAGUAAUACAUCGGAACGUGUCCUGGAGUGGGGGAUAGCCCGGCGAAAGCCGGAUUAAUACCGCAUACGCUCUAAGGAGGAAAGGGGGGGAUCUUAGGACCUCUCGCUCAAGGGGCGGCUGAUGGCAGAUUAGCUAGUUGGUGGGGUAAAGGCCUACCAAGGCGACGAUCUGUAGCUGGUCUGAGAGGACGACCAGCCACACUGGGACUGAGACACGGCCCAGACUCCUACGGGAGGCAGCAGUGGGGAAUUUUGGACAAUGGGCGCAAGCCUGAUCCAGCAAUGCCGCGUGUGUGAAGAAGGCCUUCGGGUUGUAAAGCACUUUUGUCCGGAAAGAAAACCCCUGCCCUAAUACGGCGGGGGGAUGACGGUACCGGAAGAAUAAGCACCGGCUAACUACGUGCCAGCAGCCGCGGUAAUACGUAGGGUGCGAGCGUUAAUCGGAAUUACUGGGCGUAAAGCGUGCGCAGGCGGUUCGUUAAGACAGAUGUGAAAUCCCCGGGCUUAACCUGGGAACUGCAUUUGUGACUGGCGGGCUAGAGUAUGGCAGAGGGGGGUAGAAUUCCACGUGUAGCAG
rnacentral:rRNA from 1 species